UUGAGACUAGAGGUGCGUCAGCCACCGCGGUCAUUUUUUAACUUGUUAAAUGUAGUCAAUGUUUAGAAAGACGCACCACUGCCGGACCCAGCAACACGUUAGUAGAGCUGUAGUUUGAGACUGAUUGACACGAGGUAUCUACUAGCUUAAGUGUAACGUUAGCGUUAUCCUGACAGGGCCUCAAGCAGCCACGUGGAGAACACCCGAAAGAUGGACAAAAUGAAAAAGAAGUUGCCCUCCUGCUGGCAGCUCUUUGCACAGGAUUUACAGGCCAUACAUUGGAUAAACUGGGCCUCCUGAUGUAUCUACAAGACUAGUCAAAAUGGAGCCAUUCAAGAUGCCAAGUCACAACUGAGAUAAAAAAAGCUUGUAAGCUGUCAUAAGAUGUGACACUUCAUCUUGCGUCUUCAUCCAACUACACCAGAUGUCUAAAGAUUCAUGCUGUGCAGAUGAAAGGCUUGUGAGCUGCAGUAUGAUGUGACAUUGCCAUCCUGCGUCUUUGUCCAACUACACCAGAUGACUAAAGAUGGUGCAGGUGAAUAUGCUUUCCAUGUCUGAAAAAACUACAACUCGCUGCUCCUGUUGUGAUGAACUCUAAACUGAAAUGCUGGAAUUACCGGCAGAUUGUUUGUGGUGAGACUCGGUUUUCUGAACUUUUAGUGGCGGCUUCACACAGUGCACUUGUGACAUAACUUGUGGACUCAACUUCCUCUUUCUUAUCCCUCAGAAUUGGAUCAAGUGGUUGCAGCGACUGCCUUUGUAAGCCUGCCAGCUGCAUCUGAUGACAAGAUCUGUGGGCACCAUCUGAAGCUGCAUGUCAACAUGUUUGUUUAAAAAUCAUCUCCCUGUGUAAGAAGCAGAAUUAACUGUCAAUAAAGUGUCAUAACAGCCUAAAAAAA